GAGAAAUAGGAGGCAUAUUGUAACUCUGAUUCACAGUUUCAGAACAACAACAUCAAUGAAUAAAGAGACUGUGCUCUAGAGUUCAACUUCAGCCAAGUUGCAAGGACAAGAGACUUAGAUCUCAGAGGUAACAAAACUGAAGGCAGUGACUGCUGAAUAAGUGUGGAAUGCAAAGCAAGAUAUUGCCAAUGCAAUUAGAAGUGCAGCAGUGAAUUUCACCACAGAUGAGAUCUAGUUGCAACACUGGAUAACAUGUACAUGCGAAGAUGCUUCUUCUGCUCCUCAUGUUUGAACAGCAGCUGAGCCAUGUAGGAGAAAGCAUUCCCAGAAAAAGGAGCUCCAGGCAGAGACUGCAGCAACACAGUUCUUGAACAUCCAUUGACAUUAACCUUGACAUGGCUCAAAUGAUAAUGAAACUGGUCUCUGGUGCAUCUUUACAUACUCUCUGUUAUCAUCCCAGGGUAAAUAAUGUGAGCCCAGUAUGAUGAUGUAAUUGAAGUACUCUUCAAUAUUCACCAUUUGUACAGCUGUCGUGGCUUAACCCCUGCUGGCAACUCAGCACUACUCAGCAAUCCACUCAGUCUCCCCUCCCACAUGGAAUGGGGAGGAGAAUUACAAAAAGGUAAAACCUGCAGGUUGAGAUGAGAACAGUUUGAUAAUUCAAACAAGGUGAAAUAUAAUAAUAAUAAUAAAUUAUAACGAGAAGGAGAGAGAAGAAUAAGACCCAAGGAAAAAGGUGAUGGAGGAUACAAUUACUCAAUACCUGCUGGCUUGUGCCCAGCCCAACCCUGAGCAGGAAUUGGCAGAUCCCAGCUAACUCCCCUCAAUUUAUAUACUGAGCAUGACAGUUUAUUUCAUGGAAUAUCUGCUUGGCUAGUUUGAGUCAACUAUUCUGGCUAUGCUCCUUCCUGGCUUCUUGUGCACCUGCUUGCUGUCAGAGUAUAAGAGUCUGAAAAGUCCUUGAUUUAGAGAAAACACUACUGAGCAAAAACCAAAACAUCACUAUGUUGUCAACAUUACUCUCACACUAAAUCAAACACACAGCUCUGUACCAGUUACAUGAAAGAAAAUUAACUCUGUCCCAGCCAAAAAUAGGAUAACAGAUGACCUAAAAUUGCAGAACUUUAUCAGCUAUUUUCAAUUUUAAAAUAUUUUUCUAUCAAAAUUUGUAAGUUUUUUACAAAAACAAAUAGAAAUUCAAAACAGUUUUAUCACUUCCCUUUCAAUGUGGA